rfam:Idiomarinaceae bacterium HL-53 ITZY_scaf_55, whole genome shotgun sequence.
CACGGGUCCCCUCGCAACGCGAACCAGCGAACCCGGUCAGGCCCGGAAGGGAGCAGCCGUAGUUGGGGUAGCGUGUGCCGAGGUGUGGCUGGUGGGG